GACGAACGCUGGCGGCGUGCUUAACACAUGCAAGUCGAACGGAAAGGCCCUGCUCUUGUGGGGUGCUCGAGUGGCGAACGGGUGAGUAACACGUGAGUAACCUGCCCUUGACUUUGGGAUAACUUCAGGAAACUGGGGCUAAUAUCGGAUAGGAGCUCCUGCUGCAUGGUGGGGGUUGGAAAGUUUCGGCGGUUGGGGAUGGACUCGCGGCUUAUCAGCUUGUUGGUGGGGUAGUGGCUUACCAAGGCUUUGACGGGUAGCCGGCCUGAGAGGGUGACCGGCCACAUUGGGACUGAGAUACGGCCCAGACUCCUACGGGAGGCAGCAGUGGGGAAUAUUGCACAAUGGGCGGAAGCCUGAUGCAGCAACGCCGCGGGCGGGAUGACGGCCUUCGGGUUGUAAACCGCUUUCGCCUGUGACGAAGCGUGAGUGACGGUAAUGGGUAAAGAAGCACCGGCUAACUACGUG
rnacentral:rRNA from 1 species